GAGUAUGUUUUCCUGGCAGUAUAGUGGUCCUUUAAUAUUCCAAAGGUUAGGGUGUUAAAGUUAUGUAUGAUGCACAGAAUACCUGUAAAUUAACACGAUUCCUCCUAGGUGGCCUUUGUUAAAGGACCACUAUAGUGCCAGGAAAACAUACUC